rnacentral:antisense_RNA from 1 species
CGGCGCUUGAGGCUUUCUGCCUCAUGACGUGAAGGUGGUUUGUUAUCCUGUUGUGUGGCAGAAGGACAAAAGCCCCGUAGUUAAUUUUCAUUAACCCACGAGGCCUCUGCAUGUCUAGUCCACGUCAGUAUGCCCUCUUACCGUGCAAAUUGCAAGGAGGAGUAAACCAUG